CCCCUGCUGGUGAACGGCUGUGCGCUGGGAGCUGGUGGGGGUCGCAGUGGCCAGGGGGAAGCGACUGUUUACUAAAAACACAGGUCCGUGCGAAGUCGUAAGACGAUGUAUACGGACUGACGCCUGCCCGGUGCCGGAACGUUAAGGGGACCGCUUAGCCUGCUUCGGUGGGCGAAGGCGAGAACUUAAGCGCCGGUAAACGGCGGUGGUAACUAUAACCAUCCUAAGGUAGCGAAAUUCCUUGUCGGGUAAGUUCCGACCUGCACGAAUGGCGUAACGACUUCCCCACUGUCUCAACCACAGACCCGGCGAAAUUGCACUACGAGUAAAGAUGCUCGUUACGCGCGGCAGGACGGAAAGACCCCGGGACCUUUACUGCAGCUUGAUAUUGGUGCUUGGAGCGGUUUGUGUAGGAUAGGUGGGAGCCUGUGAAGCGGUCACGCCAGUGGUCGUGGAGGCGUCGUUGAAAUACCACUCUGACUGGUCUGGGCAUCUAACCUCGGGCCCUGAAUCGGGUCCAGGGACAGUGUCUGGUGGGUAGUUUAACUGGGGCGGUUGCCUCCUAAAGGGUAACGGAGGCGCCCAAAGGUUCCCUCAGCCUGGUUGGCAAUCAGGUGUUGAGUGUAAGUGCAUAAGGGAGCUUGACUGUGAGACUGACGGGUCGAGCAGGAGCGAAAGCUGGGACUAGUGAUCCGGCACUUGCGGAUGGAAGCGGUGUCGCUCAACGGAUAAAAGGUACCCCGGGGAUAACAGGCUGAUCUUCCCCAAGAGUCCAUAUCGACGGGAUGGUUUGGCACCUCGAUGUCGGCUCGUCGCAUCCUGGGGCUGGAGUCGGUCCCAAGGGUUGGGCUGUUCGCCCAUUAAAGCGGUACGCGAGCUGGGUUUAGAACGUCGCGAGACAGUUCGGUCCCUAUCCGCUGCGCGCGUAGGAGACUUGUGGGGGGCUGUCCCUAGUACGAGAGGACCGGGAUGGACGAACCUCUGGUGUGCCAGUUGUGCCGCCAGGUGCAUGGCUGGUUGGCUACGUUCGGUGUGGAUAACCGCUGAAGGCAUCUAAGCGGGAAGCCGUCCCCGAGAUGAGGUCUCCCACCCUUGCGCAAGCAGGGGGUAAGGUCCCCGCGAGAUGAGCGGGUUGAUAGGCCGGUGGUGGAAGCUCUGUGAGGGGUGGAGCUGACCGGUACUAAUCGACCGAGGACUUGACCG
rnacentral:rRNA from 1 species